rnacentral:lncRNA from 10 species
UUCUCUGUUAGCUCAGACCUCCACUCUGCUCUGCUCCUCUUCUGAUGUGCAGACGCAUCUCAUUGCACGUGCUUUUGGGAGGUGUCCACCUGUGGCUGAGCAAAGGAGCCCUGGCAUAGAGCAAGGGUAACCCCGGGAGCUGAGUGAGAGAGGCUCCUUCCCUUACAUCCACAUGCCUUUAAUUCCUCCUCUGUAGAUUGAGGGGGUUGGCCUUGAUAAUAUCUAAGGUCCUUUCAAGUUCUGUCUGGUUGUUCAAAUGGAAGGAAUAGUUAAAAUCUUUCUUCUAUAGAAAGAAAGCACAUUAGCUAGGAUGACUUCAAAGUGGCAACCUAUGGGGGAGUUCUCGAGAGCAAGGUCCUGUCUGAUCAGCCUGACACACCUGCCACCUG